GGGCCUUGUACACACCGCCCGUCACACCACGAGAGUUUGUAACACCCGAAGUCGGUGGGGUAACCUUUUGGAGCCAGCCGCCUCGCCUAAGGUGGGACAGAUGAUUGGGGUGAAGUCGUAACAAGGUAGCCGUAUCGGAAGGUGCGGCUGGAUCACCUCCUUUCUAUGGAG
rnacentral:rRNA from 1 species